UUUCUUUCUGGAGAUCACCCCUUGUGGAGAUUUUGUGAGCCUACAACACUGGCAUGGUACCUUACUGAUAUGUCUACUUGUUUCCCAGAGCACGGGGUGGAGCUCCACACAUGGAAGAGUUCUUGCUCUUCAGAGCUGUUGUCCACAAGAUGCCAGCCACUUUCCAGUUCCCUACAUAAGAAAACCUUUGCUCUCCUAAAGUUCAAGGUUUUGAGUAUGGAGAUCUUCUUAUGCUUCACGGAAAACGGUGGUUUAGGAAAAGAAAUGUCAAGAUUCUAUCACAAAAGAAACAAAGAAAACAGCUGUACAGUCAACUAGGCAUAAUUAUAAAAAGAUUUCCAGUCUUGGGAACCAAAAUCUGAAGACAGCAGGUUACAAGAUUUCAGGUUAUAUGAUUCAAGUUUAGAAGUUUUCAUCAUCAUUGGAUCUGUAUGAGAAUCCUAGCUCUGGUUUGGUUGUGAAAACAAACCCCAGAACACUGGUGGAGCCUAAUUUAGAUCUGAACCUAAGUGCCCACUUCCUGUUCCUCAUUUCAAAUCAAAACAGGUUUCAGUUGCUUUAAGUUCUGGGUGAAAUCUCUUGUUGGUUAUUUUUAACUGUUUCUCCUAUUCCUAUCUGUGACCUUAAAAAACAAAACAAAACAAAAGAACACCAAAAAACCCAUCCCUUUACAUGCCACAUGCUUCAAUUAACCAAAAACCACUGUCAACAAAUCAAAGUAUGGAAGAAUAGUGGUGGUUUCCUUUCACUCGUUUUUAUGGUUAUUAAUUAUAUUUGGUUUUGGUCCGAUGUAAAUAUUUAAUAAAUCAGGUGAAUUUAUUUUUCACAAUUAUUUUUUAUUGGAUAAAUGACGAAGUAUAUUUAAGUGGGUGUAGAGUCUACCCAAAUAUUUUUUUUGUGGUUGUGUUAGCAGUCUGUUACACAUGUGUUCAUUAAAUCUGGCACACAGUUAAAGAUUAAAAAGUCAUUCUUCCCUCCAAGUAUCUUGACUUAAAAAGCAAGUCUUGGAUCAACCAGUGCUCAUCAAACUUAAGGCUCGGUCUUGGGCAAGGCUAAGAGCACAUAAAUUCCGGUGACCGGUUUUCAAUGAAUAGAAGAAUAUGACAGUCAUUAUGGAAUGAGAUUUAUCUAUCUUGUUCAGAUUUGUUUCUCCUGAGACCGUAAUGGAAUUCUCCACUUUUUCACAAUAUUGAUAAAAUGAAUUGAAAGUUUUCUUUUUGAGCCUGAGGCUGAAUUAGGCUGCUCAAAGAAGCUGCAGAAAAAGUAAACCAAGUACAAUUGGGAAUCUGUCUCUGAUCUAACUACUGCCACUCACCUCUGUUUUUUGACAUUUCUACAGACUGUUGAUUUAUAAGAUUCCUUCAGUGAGUACUGAGUCUGUUCUAUAUAAAUUAUAUCCUUUGUUAAAAAGAAUAAUUGAUCAUGUGCUUAUCUGAUGCCCAUUCUUAAAUGAUAAUCUUCUUUAGCUAUGAGGAUAAUAUCAAAGAUGAUCCUAUGCCAUAAAGUUCACCUAGAACAGUUCUUCAGCUUGUAAUCUGAACCAUACAGAAUUAAAAUCAAAAGGAGAUAUACUCUACAUUUAGAGACAAAACAAUUGUUAGGUGUUGUACUUUUUCUUCUUUUUGUUUGUGUUCCUACAAAUAAAACAUUUGUAAUAUG
rnacentral:lncRNA from 7 species